rnacentral:lncRNA from 1 species
ACACUGGGAAACCAAAAAAUCCAUUUGACUCCCCUUACUGUGAUAUUUGCUUUAUUGCAGUGGUUUGAAACUCAGCCUAAAAUACCUCCGAGGUAGACCCAUACACAAUUUGAUGAGUCUGAAUGUAUGCAUACACAUGUGAAACUACAGUCAAGGCCUUUCUGUUUAAUGUUCCAUUUGAGAAAAAUAUCAAGGAAGUAUUUAUUCCCUCCAGUUAAAGGCCUGUGUGGUAAGCAAGAUUCUAUUAUUUAUU